rnacentral:rRNA from 1 species
AUUGAACGCUGGCGGCAUGCCUUACACAUGCAAGUCGAACGGCAGCACGGGUGCUUGCUGCUGGUGGCGAGUGGCGAACGGGUGAGUAAUACGUCGGUACCUGUCCUGUCGUGGGGGAUUGCCUGGCGGAAGCCGGAUUUAUACCGCGUACGAUCUACGGGUGACAUGGGGGGAGUUUGAGACUUGGCGCUGUAGGGUUUGCAGAUGGCGGUUUAGAUCUUUGGUGGGGUAAAGUCCUAUCAAGGCGACGAUCAGUAGCUGAUCUGAGAGAAGGACCAGCCACACUGGAAGUGAGACACGGCCAAUACUCCUACGGGAGGCAGCAGUGGGGAAUGUUAGACAAUGGGCGAAAGCCUGAUCCAGCAAUGCCGCGUGUGUGAAGAAGGCCUUCGGGUUGUAAAGCACUUUUGUCCGGAAAGAAAUGCUUGGCCCUAAUACGGACGGGGAAUGACGGUACCGGAAGAAUAAGCACCGGCUAACUACGUG